ACAGAAAUGGCGGCGUGCUUAACACAUGCAAGUCGAACGAUGAACUGGAGCUUGCUCCAGGGAUUAGUGGCGAACGGGUGAGUAACACGUGAGUAACCUGCCCUUGACUCUGGGAUAAGCGCUGGAAACGGCGUCUAAUACCGGAUACGAGCUUCAGCCGCAUGGCUAGGAGUUGGAAAGAAUUUCGGUCAAGGAUGGACUCGCGGCCUAUCAGCUAGUUGGUGAGGUAAUGGCUCACCAAGGCGACGACGGGUAGCCGGCCUGAGAGGGUGACCGGCCACACUGGGACUGAGACACGGCCCAGACUCCUACGGGAGGCAGCAGUGGGGAAUAUUGCACAAUGGGCGCAAGCCUGAUGCAGCAACGCCGCGUGAGGGAUGACGGCCUUCGGGUUGUAAACCUCUUUUAGUAGGGAAGAAGCGAAAGUGACGGUACCUGCAGAAAAAGCACCGGCUAACUACGUGCCAGCAGCCGCGGUAAUACGUAGGGUGCAAGCGUUGUCCGGAAUUAUUGGGCGUAAAGAGCUCGUAGGCGGUUUGUCGCGUCUGCUGUGAAAUCUGGGGGCUCAACCCCCAGCCUGCAGUGGGUACGGGCAGACUAGAGUGCGGUAGGGGAGAUUGGAAUUCCUGGUGUAGCGGUGGAAUGCGCAGAUAUCAGGAGGAACACCGAUGGCGAAGGCAGAUCUCUGGGCCGUAACUGACGCUGAGGAGCGAAAGCAUGGGGAGCGAACAGGAUUAGAUACCCUGGUAGUCCAUGCCGUAAACGUUGGGAACUAGAUGUGGGGGCCAUUCCACGGUCUCCGUGUCGCAGCUAACGCAUUAAGUUCCCCGCCUGGGGAGUACGGCCGCAAGGCUAAAACUCAAAGGAAUUGACGGGGGCCCGCACAAGCGGCGGAGCAUGCGGAUUAAUUCGAUGCAACGCGAAGAACCUUACCAAGGCUUGACAUAUACCGGAAACGUCCAGAGAUGGUCGCCCCGCAAGGUCGGUAAACAGGUGGUGCAUGGU
rnacentral:rRNA from 1 species